GUCAUGAUUCCUUCUAGGUCCCCUAUCACAAAAUAAUAUGGUUGUGCUUGGUUCUCAGUUUGCUAGAUAAAGAGAUCAAUCCUUCCAAAUAUCAAAUAUCAAUUGGGCUAGUGUACAACCCAUAAAAUUAUGACAUAAGAGAAAUACUGCUCAACAGAGAAAAUACAACAUUAAAAGAUGGUUAAAUAUUUAUAUGAAGCAUAUUAUUGUUCUU
rnacentral:misc_RNA from 1 species